UCUCCCUCCCCUCCCCAGCCCAUCCCUCCCCAUGUCCUUCCAGGGUCAGUAGCACUCCCUCCCUGCCAGAGGAGACCUUCCUGCCCGCCUCAUCCAACCGACUCACCCCCGCGUUUCUCGUGAGAGUGAUUGGAUCCAGCCAGUGGUGCUGUUCUGAGAACUGCCUGUGUCUCCGGCCUUAGCUCAUCUGUGGCUCACAAAGUGGGGAUAAUUUGCAUCCUACUGAUGGGGAAACUGAGUCACCUGGCGGUGACAUCUCUUGCCCCAGGUUCACAGCAGGCCGGCUCCGAGUCCGUGAGUGUGAGGGCGUGAGUGGGUGCUCGUGUGGGUGUCUGUGAUGGUUGCGCAGAGUGUUGGAGUUUACUGUGUGUAUGUGUGUUGUGCUGUGUGGUGUAAAUGGGUGUGUGCAUGUGUUGGGUGUGAAUGUGUGUUGGAUAUAUGUAUAAGUGUCAGGAGUGAGUAUGUUGUGUAUGGGUGUGUGUUGUGUGUGACUUUGUUGUGUGCAUGGCUGUGUGUUGUAUGUGUGACUUUGUGUUUGUGUAUGUAUGUUGUAUGUGCAUGUGACUCUGCAUGACCUGUGUGGGUGUAUGUUGUGUGUAUGAUUGUGCAUUGUGUAUGAAUGUGACUAUGUGGGCACGUGUUGUGUGUAUGCGUGUGUGUCUUUUGUGUGCUGUGUGGCUAUGUGUGCAUGUGACUGUGUUGUGUGUGGCCUGUGUGUGUUGUGUGCGUGUGGUUGUGGUUGUGUGUGGCCUGUGUGUGUGUGGCUGUGAGACCUGUGUGUGUUGUGUGUAUGUGGCUGUGGUUGUGUCUGCCCUGUGUGUGUGCACGUGUGCCUGUGGCUGUGUGUCCCCUGUGUGUUGUGUGCGUGUGACUGUGUUGUGUGUGCCCUGUGUGUGUGAGACCUCUGUGUGUUGUAUGCGUGUGCCUGUGGUUGUGCGUGCCCUGUGUGUGCGUGCGUGCAUGGGGCAUCCUGCCUGUCCAGCAGAGCUCCCUCUCCCACUUUCGUUAAACCCCAUCUCCAUCCUCCAUGCUCAGGAAGGUGCUGGGUAAAUACAUUGCCAUCUGGCUGAUGGAACAGCGUCCUGGUUGGGAGGAGUUGGCCACACUCCCCAGAUCAGGGAGAGUCUCCAGGGACUGUGGAAGGAGCCAGGGCUGGGGCCAGGAAGGAAGCAGGGCUAAGGAACCCCUGGGAGCCGCCUCCCACUCCACUCCUGGCCCCAGCCGUGGGGGCUGGAGCUGAUGCAGUUCCAGGGGGCUGAGGGACAGAGGGGGUCCCUCCUCGUGCCUGCCUCCACCCCCAAACCUUCCCUGGGUUCCAGUGUCACUGCAGGCGGCCUCCCCGAACACUGGGAGACACUGAGAGUCUUAGCUGCCUGGCCUGGUAGCUCAGUCUAGGUGUCACGUUUUCCCCAGGAGAGGGGCUGGCCCUCAGGCGCAGCGGUCUGGUUCAGAGCCA
rnacentral:lncRNA from 1 species